UAUUUAUUAGAUAACAGACCAAUAUUCCUCGUGUCUAUUGUGGUGACUCAUAGUAACUGAUCGGAUCGCAUGGCCUUGUGCCGCGACUAACCAUUCAAGUUUCUGACCCAUCAGCUUUCGAUGGUAGUGUAUUGGACUACCAUGGCUUUCACGGGUAACGGAGGAUUAGGGUUCGAUUCCGGAGAGGGAGCCUGAGAAACGGCUACCACAUCUAAGGAAGGCAGCAGGCGCGUAAAUUACCCAAUCCUGACUCGGGGAGGUAGUGACAAGAAAUAACGGGUCGGGGCAUUCGCCUCGGGAUUGCAAUGAAUCGAAUUUACACCCCUUAAUGAGGAUCAAUUGGAGGGCAAGUCUGAUGCCAGCAGCCGCGGUAAUUCCAGCUCCAAUAGCGUAUAUUAAAGUUGCUGCAGUUAAAAAGCUCGUAGUUUGAUUUCUGGACGGGCGCCAACACCCGCUUGUUUAGUGUGGAGGCGGCGCCCGCCCAUCCUUCUGUUAACGCCACCGGCAUUCGUUUGCUGGCGGCGGGCUCAGAUAUUUUACCUUGAGAAAAUUAGAGUGUUUCAGGCAGGCUUGCGC
rnacentral:rRNA from 1 species